GUUGUGAGUAGUUGUAAGUUUUCGUAUCCAAUAUUUAAUCGUUCGUCUUAUUUGAAAAAAAAUAUGAUUAGUAUUUUUGUUGUUAUUACAUAAUAAAACAUGAAUAACACUUUAUAUAUGACUAUUUUUUAAAAUUUUUUAUAAAAUUUUUUAAUUAGAAAAAUAAUAAAACGUUAAACACGAAAAUUCACAACUAUAUUUAUA
rnacentral:pre_miRNA from 1 species